rnacentral:rRNA from 1 species
UUUUGUAUAAUGGGUCAGCGACUUAUAUUCUGUAGCAAGGUUAACCGAAUAGGGGAGCCGAAGGGAAACCGAGUCUUAACUGGGCGUUAAGUUGCAGGGUAUAGACCCGAAACCCGGUGAUCUAGCCAUGGGCAGGUUGAAGGUUGGGUAACACUAACUGGAGGACCGAACCGACUAAUGUUGAAAAAUUAGCGGAUGACUUGUGGCUGGGGGUGAAAGGCCAAUCAAACCGGGAGAUAGCUGGUUCUCCCCGAAAGCUAUUUAGGUAGCGCCUCGUGAAUUCAUCUCCGGGGGUAGAGCACUGUUUCGGCAAGGGGGUCAUCCCGACUUACCAACCCGAUGCAAACUGCGAAUACCGGAGAAUGUUAUCACGGGAGACACACGGCGGGUGCUAACGUCCGUCGUGAAGAGGGAAACAACCCAGACCGCCAGCUAAGGUCCCAAAGUCAUGGUUAAGUGGGAAACGAUGUGGGAAGGCCCAGACAGCCAGGAUGUUGGCUUAGAAGCAGCCAUCAUUUAAAGAAAGCGUAAUAGCUCACUGGUCGAGUCGGCCUGCGCGGAAGAUGUAACGGGGCUAAACCAUGCACCGAAGCUGCGGCAGCGACGCUUAUGCGUUGUUGGGUAGGGGAGCGUUCUGUAAGCCUGUGAAGGUGUGCUGUGAGGCAUGCUGGAGGUAUCAGAAGUGCGAAUGCUGACAUAAGUAACGAUAAAGCGGGUGAAAAGCCCGCUCGCCGGAAGACCAAGGGUUCCUGUCCAACGUUAAUCGGGGCAGGGUGAGUCGACCCCUAAGGCGAGGCCGAAAGGCGUAGUCGAUGGGAAACAGGUUAAUAUUCCUGUACUUGGUGUUACUGCGAAGGGGGGACGGAGAAGGCUAUGUUGGCCGGGCGACGGUUGUCCCGGUUUAAGCGUGUAGGCUGGUUUUCCAGGCAAAUCCGGAAAAUCAAGGCUGAGGCGUGAUGACGAGGCACUACGGUGCUGAAGCAACAAAUGCCCUGCUUCCAGGAAAAGCCUCUAAGCAUCAGGUAACAUCAAAUCGUACCCCAAACCGACACAGGUGGUCAGGUAGAGAAUACCAAGGCGCUUGAGAGAACUCGGGUGAAGGAACUAGGCAAAAUGGUGCCGUAACUUCGGGAGAAGGCACGC